GUUUUCGUUCAGAUGGAUGUCAGAAAUUCUACAAAUUGUUCGAAGAGCCAUUCCGAUUUUUUUCUGCCUGUCUAUUAUAUGUUCGGUAACUGUUAUAUUUUUUAUUCUCAAUUAUUUGGAAAAUUCAAACACAAGUAACCUUCUCAAAAUACGGUUGGUUCUUGUUGGAAUAUGUGUAGCUGUGGUCUUGUAUACUUAUUCAGAAGCCGGGCAAUUGCUGAGUGAUGAUACGAGUCAAGUGUUUGAUACUUUGGCAACUUGCUCAUGGUAUGAGUGGGACACCAAAAAUAGAAAAAUGCUGCUGAUGUUCUUAUUACAUUCACUGAAACCGAUAAAAUUUUACUGGGGCGGUUUCGCUCUGGAUUAUCGA